AUUAUAAUUUUGUGUAAAUCAACUUGAAAAAAAUAUAAUGCUACUGAUUAUUCAAAUGGAGCAUAUAAAUUCCUGAAUUGGUGGAAUCUUAAAAAAAGACGAUAGUUAUCAUGAAUUUACAGAACCAAAAAUAAUUGUCAGCAUGAGUAUAAAAUUGGGGACACAUUUGAGUGUUUAAAAUUCACUAAUUUCCCUUGAUUUUUGGUAAUUAAAAUGAAAAAAAUUAGCACGACUAAUAAAACCGGCCUGUUGCACCUGUUGGGCGCACAGUCCGUGCGUUUCCGUCGCCCUCCUCUUUGGUGAAGCGGUCGGAGCCCCAUAAAAGCACUUAUUUCGUACAUCUGUCAGUUGGCAGCUGCCGAAUUGAUUUGGAAUAAGAAAGCGGCACAAGCUUGCCAUACGUAAAUCGGGCGUUGGAUUAGACAUCGCUUCGUGUAAAUGGUGGCAGGUCCAACUUGUGCGUAAUGUUGUGAGUGAAGAAGAGAGAAGUGGAAGUUUCAAUUUCUUAUGCAUUGACCGAAGACAGCUGGAGUUACCUUCCAGACGAUCGUUCAGACGGACGCAGUGUGCAGUGCCAGCAUGAAGAAGCCCACCAGGAAGGCUGGACACAGACGGAUUAGACACGUGAGAAGUCGUGACCACGUCACCGAAAUGCUGAAACUUUGUCUUCAAAAAGUGUGCGAACUGCAGGCAGAUCUCGAAAGAAGUGAAGAAGUUCACGAUCCGGAAGCCGCAGGCUAUGCAGCUUGUGCGAUGGAGACGAUUCGGUUUUUAUCCUCGCAAGGAUUGCCACCGGAUCAUCCCAUAGUCAAGGGUUUGACUGAGAAGCUCCUCCAGGAUAGGGAAUAACAGAAAGCGUUUCAUAUUCGAAACAUCAUUCCUUUGCACAGGGUACUCGCCGCAUUUCUAUGUUUUCUAGUCAUUUUUUUAGGUAAAUUAAGCGACAAUAAACGAGCGAAGACUGCUUAGAGUAGGAGGUAGGGUUUUUAAUUUAUUUUUAGGGAUUUCAUUGUGCAUUGUUUGGGGUUUGGAAAUAAUGACUCGAGUUGGGUAUCAGCGAUCUCAUUUAUUAAUCAUUAAAAAUUAAUAAAAAUCGAGUCCAAGUCAAAGACAAGUGUAUUGAGCGAGAACAUUUAAAUAAAUUAAUUCCUUGUCAUAAAAAAAACUAUUUCUCUACGAUAAAUUUGAUUAUGGACCAAAAACAAUUACAUUUUGUAAUUAAUACCUGUCCAAAAACCGUUAAAAUUUUCCAAUUUUUUUGCUACCAACAAAAAAUUGCAUAGUUUCCCUGACUGCUAACCCUUUGUCGUUUCAUUUCUGCUUCAACUUAACAAUAAUAAGGGCGAGGGUGCGUUGUAAAGGGUCGUGUUUUUGUUAUCA